rnacentral:rRNA from 1 species
UACAGAGGCCCCAAGCGUUACUGAGAAUCACUGGGUUUAAAGGGUGCGUAGGUGGCGCGUUAAGUCCGUUGCGAAAUCCCUGGGCUCAACCCAGGAAUUGCUUCGGAUACUGGCGUGCUUGAGGCUAGUAGGGGUCACUGGAACUGACGGUGGAGCGGUGAAAUGCGUAGAUAUCGUCAGGAACGCCGAUGGUGAAGACAGGUGACUGGGCUAGUUCUGACACUGAGGCACGAAAGCGUGGGGAGCGAACGGG